GAACAUUGUACUUUGAUAAUCCCACAGUUUUGCUGAGUCACUGGGCACAUAAAGGGGUCCUGCGAGUCAACACCAAGAGUCCACCUGACACUGUCUCAAUAGGCAACUGAGGUCAGUACACUGACAAGGCCUGUCUAAAGCUUUCAUAGGUCUUUAUUCAACUGGACAGGGUCAUCUGUGCUGUGAAUCUGUUAAAAAAAAAUUAAAAAAUGGAAAGUGAUGGAAUAUUACAUUUAGAUGUGUGUGUUGAUGAGCACACCCCUCGGCCUGGGAUUACAAAACUUCUUACAAAACUCAGGCCACAGUGGAAACCAGAAGAUAUUCAGAUCAAGGCUUUCACUGAGGGAAUCACCAACCAGUUAAUGGGCUGUUAUGUGGGUUCUCUGACCGAAGAUCCUGUUCUACUGGUGAGGGUCUAUGGGCAGAUGACAGAGCUUUUUCUGGACAGAGAUAAAGAGAUGGAGAUGUUCAGGAUACUGCACAGACAUGGCUGUGGCCCUCAGCUGUACUGCAGUUUCAACAAUGGCAUCUGUUAUGAGUUUGUCAGAGGAGUUGUGAUGGAUGACACACUACUCAAACAACCUUCUGUUUACAGGUUGAUUGCAACAGAAAUGGGGAAAGUCCAUUCAAUUAAGUCUGGAGAAGUUGGAAACACUUCACCCCAAACACCAGUUUUGUGGUCAAGGUUGUCCCAGUUCCUGAACCUGGUGGAGAGUUCUGACAGCCAUGUCAGUCAAAGGUCCACUGCCCACCUGGAGGCUCCAAAUAUAUCAAUCAUCAUCAAAGAGAUGGAGGAGCUGAAGAGUCAUCUUCAACACAUCGAGUCACCAGUAGUGCUGUGUCAUAAUGAUCUCCUGACUAAAAAUAUCAUCUACAACCACCAAGAAGGCACUGUCAAAUUUAUCGACUAUGAAUACGCAGAUUUUAAUUACCAAGCUUAUGACAUUGGAAACCAUUUCAAUGAAUUUGCAGGUGUCAAUAAUGUUGACUACAGCCUGUACCCAAGCUUUGAGCUUCAGUUUGAUUGGCUUACUGCCUACCUGGAGAGUUUCAAGUGGUGCAAUGGUGUGGAUUCAUCCGUGACAAAGAAAGAGGUCCAGGAACUUUAUGUAAGAGUCUGCAAGUUCUCCUUGGCAGGUCAUUUCUUCUGGUGUCUAUGGGCUCUGCUGCAAGCCAAACAUUCCACCAUUGACUUUGACUUCCAGAGGAACCACCACAACAACAAACAACUGCGUGAGGGAUUCACAUCAAUCUCAAACCCCCGCUGCUCAGGAACCAUGACCACCACAUCAACAACAAACAGUUGUGGAUACAUAUCCUGAGGUUACCAGAGCCUGCCAUAUCCAGCUCCGGUCCUGGUCUGAUGUUCGACUCCCACUGCUAUGUGUUGCUGAGUGAUGUCAACUAACUGCAGUCUGUGCCAGCCAGAUAUCACUUCAGUCUACUACGAUGGAAUUCACAGUGGAUGAACUGUUGCCAACUCUAACCGUAUGCCAUGGCUCGACUCAACUACUACUUUGAGAAGAAGCAGGACUUCUUUGAAAUGAAACUUCAUGAUGACUUUCCCCCACAUAGAGUUUAGUGCUGAUAAUUUUCCAAAAGUUUCUGAAAGGGCUUUCACUAGCAAUUGUUUUAAUCAAAAGAUAAUCAUUGUCUUCUUAACCAUGUGCAUUUAUGCAGGUUGUGUAAUAGUAACAGGUUAUUUGUGUAUUUGACCCCUGAGGGUUGACUGAGGGUCUGACCCAUGUCAUGAAUGCAGUAACAGUGCUUGCUCAUUUAGCCCGGCUCCCGGAGAACAAAUAUACAUGUGAAUUGUAAUUAAUUAUUUGAUCAUUGGUCACAUUAAGCAAGAGUUUUAUUGUAUUUAAAGGGGUCAUGAAAUGGAGAAUACAAAUUUCCUUGAUAUUUAGACAUAGGAGAGGUAACUGUACUAUAGAAACACUGUAAAUUUCAGAACUCAAAACUUCCUCCCCAGUCUAAAAACAGCAUUAAUAGUUGCCACCCUGCUUAAACAUCUCGUUUUGAAAUCUUUCUGUUCUUGACGUCAUGAAACAUUGCUAAUUUGUGUUUACACAUCCCACAACAUGCGUCAUCGGCAUGCAGGUCAAGACAGCUGGCCUUUUUUGGCUAACUAUUCCAAACAUAACACCAAAGGGGACCCAUGUGGACUAUUUUUUUAUUAUUUUUUUAAUAUAUUCAUGCACUAGACAGAUAUCUUACAAGUUACAACUCUGAAAGGGAGAAACAUUUGCCUAUGCCUAUAAUUACUGUUAUCCGAGUUAGUUCGAGGUUAGAUCCUCAACUUAUUUUCUGUUUCUGUCUUCUGCUUUGGAAAUGUGGAAAACUUUGUCUUCAGUAAACUCUCUCUCAACUGACUGAAACUCAA